GUUUCAAACAAAGGAUGGCUAACCUUCAAUGCUAUAAACAAUACAAAAUGAACAAAUGGCCCCAUGAAUAAAACAUCUAUAACAAAUUAUAACAACUACUCACAAAGUUUAAAUAAUUUUAAAAAAGAUAUAAGUCUAUGAAACCCACAAAGUAACAAAACUAAUCAGUUUAUAAACAGUUGAAAUGACUAUUGUUAUAUAAUUUAUCUACCACUAUAAAAGUACAGGAUUUUUGUUGACCCCUUUCUUCCCUUGUUAUCUCAUAUUAACAGAGCAAAGCUUUCAAUUUUGAAGAAGUUCCAAAACAAAGAGCAUGCAUUUUUCCUGCUCUCCAUUUGCAUUGUUCUUCGACCUUCAGAAUUUUUAUUCAGGAAAGUAGUCUUUCUGCUAUUUACAUCACUUAGCACAUUUCUGAAGGUUUCACUAUGACUACAUUUAAGUUUAUCAAUGCAUAAUAAAGCAAGAAACAUUUUUUUUGCUCAUUGUCUAUUUCUAAAGCUGUAGGAUGAAGACAGAAAACACAUCAACACAAGGGCCACAUGAAUGAAUAAUUUAUUACGAUCAACAGAUCAGACAAAAUGUCCACAUAAGACAAGGAGCUACAAUCAUUGGACUAUUAAUGACAGGAAGAGGAUAUUUUUUGUGGUUUUGUCAAACAGUUACAGACACAGAAAUGUAGAGAAACCCCCUUCCUCCCUUCCUCCCUCCCUCCCUCCUUUCUUCACUCUUCCACACAUUACCCUCUCCUUAGGAAUACAUUGACUUUUCAUGGGCAAUAAAUUCAGUGAUGGUCUCCUCUUAACAGCUUAAAGAUUAACUAGGAAAUGUCUCUUUAAGUCACCUGUGUUAGUGUUAAUUCAGAGUGGCAGCUGAUGUUGAAUUCCAAUCACAGGGACAAAUUAUAAUUCCAAGCACUGAGAAGGACCAUUCACUUUACUUUCCAUUAUUUGUGACUGGCCUAAAUCUCCCAUGUAAUACAGUUUAAAUCUGUGAAGAGGCUACCUCUGUCUCUUCGACCAAAAUGAAGUUGAGUUAAUUUUAAAACAAAGGCUCUACAGUCCAAUACAAAUAUUGACAAAAACAGUCUAUGAAGAGAAGUUAAGUGAAAGCCAAAGGAAUCAAGAUAGUGGCGGCAGCAGUUUCAGCCAUGUAUCUGUUGGCUGCAUUGGAAUGAGAACCAGAUACUGAAGUACCCAAGAAAAUCUAUAGAAACAUAGAUAUAUUUCUAUGUGCUCGGAUUCAUCUGUGCCAGGGGCGGUUCAACCACCAGGCCAACUAGGCAGUUGCCUGUGGCACCAUCUUGUUGGGGGCGCUAUCGAGGCAGCUCCUGCCUCCUGCGGCCUGCCUUCACAAGCUCCAAGCAGGCCACAAAAGAAAGGGAGCCACACGACUUACCAUGCAGAGAGCGUGCAGAUUGGAGGGGGCAGAUUCAAGAAGGGGUCACCUGCUUCCAGGAGGCAUGGGAGUGGAUGUUGGAGCAGCCCCCCCCCCCUCAUUAUGGUGUUGGCAUCUUUCUCCCAGAAAGCUGUAGUCUCUGGCAUGAGCCUGCAGAGCAGCAGUAACCAACAGCCAAUGAGUUUGAACUUCUUUCCUAGAAUCACCACACUCAUCCAGCUUUAUCUUAAUUAUUCAUGUUUUGUAACUUUGAAGUCAUUAUAUUUGCUUUGCUAUUGUCACAACUUGUGGGAGGCAGUUGGUAUUGGUCCUGGAUUCAGGACAGUGUUGAGCAAUGCCCGCUUUAGCAUUGGUAACAUGUGUGGGUUCACUUAUAUGUGAUGGAGGGGGAUCUUGCCCAGCCCAGGGAACAGACACCUUUACAGCAGUCCCCGGUAGGCAUGGGGCAGCUGCCCACAUGGUUUCUUUUCUUGCCAUCCUAAGGGUUCUGGCUGUGGGCUGGAGUAUCAGGUUCAUUGUUCAACAGGCAGGUUAGUUGGUACCUGGAUGCAAUACUCAUAUUAUUGAGUUAAGCUUAUUGACAGCUGCAACCAAUAAGAUUGUGGCCUUUACACAAUCAAAAGUUAUGUGUGCUAAUGACGGUUUCAGUGAUGUUCUAAUCAUACCUGUGGAGAAGAGUGACCCACUGUUUUAAACAAUAUUCUUUCUAAGUAAGUCACUUCAUCGUUUGUCAAAACAAGCUAACAACCAACCAACCAGUUGGGCAAUAAUGGUGACAGUAGCUCACUUUUGAGACCCACUGACUUUAAUGUAAUCCACGUAGACAUACAUUUAAUUUCAGUUAAUGGGAUUGGAUGGUUCUUAUUUUUGUCACAUACUCUGUACUGGACACACAUAACUGAAUUAUCUAUAUCUCUAAAUAUCUGGUGUUUGAACUGGAAUGAAUAAAUACUGAAUUCAGGCUGAAAUUGUUUCUUGAAAGUGUCUACGUAUUAGUAGCUUUUAAUGAAUAAACAGUUUGGGGGAAUGCAAUCUCUUUAUUAGCAAUUAAUAUUCUUCCUUUGCUUGAAUAUUUGCUUGCUUGAUUCAGCAUGAACUUUUGCAGGGAAAUGAGGGAAAUGCUGUGUAUUAAAUGGAGAGAACAGACUAAAUCAACUAAAUCAACCAAUAAUGGAAGAGGCCAUAUGAAUCAAUAUCUCAACGACAUGCGCCUAACUCCAGGGAGUUCAGAUCACCAGGAGGCACAACUGAAGCAGAUGGUCUUGCUUUGAUUUGUCAGAUGUUCUCAAUUAAAGUGAAAAUAUACCUAAAAGAAAGCAGGUUGCAAAGGUUUUAAAAUUAUGCUUAUUGGAGAAAAUCAGUAACAGAUAAAUAGUUCAAUUGACCUUAGUACCUCAGUAACUUACCACUUUUGUUUUAAAAUUACCUCAAGAACAUUCACUAUUGGUCAGUUUCUAAGAAUCUGUUAGAAACAUGCUCUAGGGAGCCUGUCUUGCAAUCUAUUAUCCAAAAUUCAAAAAACAUUUUGGGACCAAACAUUUCAAAAUCUCUCACCCAGCAUAGCCAGCAACCAGCAAUGUCUGAGAAGAAACCUUUUGAACAAGCCUACUGGAAUGUUUCAGUUAGUGAUGUCUGAUUUUUGUGAACAUGGUGUGUAAAUUGGUUCAAAUGACCAAAUUUAAGCUUGGUGCUUGCUCUUCUGAUAAGAUCUAGUGGAAGUAGGCUGACUAGGUGAGUCCAAGAGGUAAUAAAUGUCUCAUUCUGUCAAGUUGUGGUGUUCAAAAUACCAGUGUUUCAGAUGAAAACCAAAGUUGGAACAAUAUCACAUCACUUAGCUGAAAUGUACACCUACAGCACUAUACCGAGUCUAUUAAAAUCUCAUCACAUUGGGGUUCUUACAUUGACUGCUGGAUUUGCCCUGCUGCACAACGAAUGCUCCCGCUGCACAACGGAUGCCUGCCUCAUAUGAUAAGGUCCUUAGGUUUUCUUAAAGCAAAUCCAAUGUUAGUCAUGUGCCACUGAUUUUGAUACUCUAAUGAUGAUUAUGUUUGGAUUCAGUCCCCCAUUUCAACCACUUGGUGUGGCUUUUAGUUAUUCAUUCAGUACUGAGACCACUGCUCUUAGAUGCUUGAUUAAGGGUGAGGACAUCUAAUCCUAGUGGUUUAGGCCAGUGGUUCCCACCCUUUGGCCUUCCAGGUGUUUUGGACUUCAACUUCCAGAAAUCCCAGCCAGCAUACCAGCUGUUAGUAAUUGUAGGAGCUGAAGUCCAAAACACCUGAAAGAUCAAAGGUUGGGAACCACUGGUUUAGAUUAUAUCUCACACAGUUAUGAAACAGAACCAGUUACUUGAUUACUUGUUACUAUAUUUUCAUUUCCACAGAAUGAGUUUGUGGGAAUUUCUGAUUUGUGCCUAAAAAUAACUUUGCUGCCUUUCAGUACCUUGAUUAGGAAGGAUGGUUAGACAGGAAUUUUGUCCAGGUAGAAAAUUAAUUUAAUCCCAUCCUCUUGUACAGGAUAAUGUCCUGGUGAAUUCUGCUUGUUGGUUUCUUGCUCAUGCUAGAGUAGUGUGAGUUUUUAAAAAUGACCAAAUAUUGUAAUCUAUUGGGUCACAGAAAGUCUAUUGGGUCACCACUAUCAGAAAGAUGAAACCUACUUGGUAGAUCACAGGUUAUGUAGGAAUCCUUUAAAGCCAGCUUUUUCUGUUAAUCCACUUUUAAAAUAUGUGUUUAAACUCUCAAUUAGUUCUGCACUCUAAUUAGCAGUGCUUAAGGUUUUGUGCCUCUAACUAACUGAAUUUAUAUUCUGAAAUAACUGUGAAGUUCAGAAAAUAUGGACUCCAACAUGGAAUUAAAGCUACGUAUUGAUCACUUGUUGUUUUGCUUACAAGGCAGGAUCUAAUGUAUUUUUUGGCUUCAAAUUAAACUAUGCAAAUUUAAACAUUGAUUUAAUCAAGACAUGGACACACAAUGGUUUCAUUAUUUUACAGGGUUUCAGUUAGAUUGUAUUCAGGAACCCUGUGGCCUCUGAGUUUUGCUAAAAGGUUAAGCAAUGAAUAUUUAUUAUUUAUGAGGCUCGUGUCUGAAAACCAGGUUCAACAGCCAAUACAGCUGUUUUACAUGCAUGCAAAUGAGUCUUCAAAUACUUUAAUGUAGUGAUUGAUUUACCUUGAUUUUAUCUUGACUGCUUUAUCUUUAAUCCUUGUUACCACCCUGUCAUUCCACUCCAUGAUCAAUUAAAUCUCAAGAAAUAAGUGACUGCUUGGAGGGUUUUUUAUUACAAAAGGUUUCCUUCUUAUUACAAAGGAUUUCCUCCUUAUUUUCUAGCAAUGUCAUUGUGAGAAGUGAACUUUCUAAGCUUUGACACCUUUAACCUGCAAAGCAAAAAAGAAAAGAAAGAAAAGAAAAACCUUCAUAAAUAAUAAAACUGAUCUGUACAGGCAAGAAGGGUGCUUUGAGCAGGAUAGGGCAGCUAGUAUAUAUGGCAGCCUUACCUGUGCAGCCUGGAGGCUUUUAUCAUCCUAAGCAUCUCAAUUUUCACAGGAAAAAGUCUAGUCUCCAUCCUUGUGGAAAUGCACCAAAGGGGUGGCUUAAUAGCUUAGAAAUCAGAAGGCACAUUUAUAACUUCUCCAGUUUCUCCAGAUUUUCAACUAUUGUGAAGCUAAGCAAUGGGCAAUCAAUGCCUGUUUGUGUGUAACAGCAGGGUUGCCGAAGUGACAAGGAAUUUCUGUGCUUCUCCAAGUCUCAAGGCAGAGAAACAAAGCAGGGAACAAGAAUCACUGCAGGGAGAGUAAGAUUGAUUUCUGUAUCAAUGAGAUGACUUUAAUGCUGGGUAUCUAUCAUUAGGAUUGUAUACACUGAGAGGACAAUUGGGAAGUGUUGAUUUGAAAACUGUCAAUAUUAAAUAAUAUAUUCUUUAAUUUGUUCUUUUUAAAAACUUGCUUUUCAAAAGACUUUAGAAAAGUAAGAGAAAAAGUCUAAAACAUUAUUUGGAUCUUUUUAUUUGUUACAAAAA